rnacentral:rRNA from 1 species
CUACGGGCGGCAGCAGUGGGGAAUAUUGCACAAUGGGCGCAAGCCUGAUGCAGCAACGCCGCGUGAAGGAUGAAGGCCUUCGGGUCGUAAACUUCUGUCCUUGGGGAAGAAACAAAUGACGGUACCCAUGGAGGAAGCCCCGGCUAACUACGUGCCAGCAGCCGCGGUAAUACGUAGGGGGCAAGCGUUAUCCGGAAUUAUUGGGCGUAAAGAGUGCGUAGGUGGUUACCUAAGCGCAGGGUUUAAGGCAAUGGCUCAACUAUUGUUCGCCCUGUGAACUGGGCUACUUGAGUGCAGGAGAGGAAAGCGGAAUUCCUAGUGUAGCGGUGAAAUGCGUAGAUAUUAGGAGGAACACCAGUGGCGAAGGCGGCUUUCUGGACUGUUACUGACACUGAGGCACGAAAGCGUGGGGAGCAAACAGGAUUAGAUACCCCUGUAGUC